rnacentral:rRNA from 1 species
GAGUUUGAUCCUGGCUCAGGAUGAACGCUGGCGGCGUGCUUAACACAUGCAAGUCGAACGGGAAUUACUUUAUUGAAACUUCGGUCGAUUUAAUUUAAUUCUAGUGGCGGACGGGUGAGUAACGCGUGGGUAACCUGCCUUAUACAGGGGGAUAACAGUCAGAAAUGGCUGCUAAUACCGCAUAAGCGCACAGAGCUGCAUGGCUCAGUGUGAAAAACUCCGGUGGUAUAAGAUGGAUCCGCGUCUGAUUAGGUAGUUGGUGGGGUAACGGCCUACCAAGCCGACGAUCAGUAGCCGACCUGAGAGGGUGACCGGCCACAUUGGGACUGAGACACGGCCCAGACUCCUACGGGAGGCAGCAGUGGGGAAUAUUGCACAAUGGAGGAAACUCUGAUGCAGCGACGCCGCGUGAAGGAUGAAGUAUUUCGGUAUGUAAACUUCUAUCAGCAGGGAAGAAAAUGACGGUACCUGACUAAGAAGCCCCGGCUAACUACGUGCCAGCCGCCGCGGUAAUUC